rnacentral:rRNA from 1 species
UUGUCCGGAAUUACUGGGCGUAAAGAGCUCGUAGGUGGUUUGUCGCGUUGUUCGUGAAAUCUCACGGCUUAACUGUGAGCGUGCGGGCGAUACGGGCAGACUAGAGUACUGCAGGGGAGACUGGAAUUCCUGGUGUAGCGGUGGAAUGCGCAGAUAUCAGGAGGAACACCGGUGGCGAAGGCGGGUCUCUGGGCAGUAACUGACGCUGAGGAGCGAAAGCGUGGGGAGCGAACAGG